GCCCUGGUGGUGUAAUCCGGCUAUCAUGAAGCCCUGUCGCGGCUUCGAUUCGGGUUCAAAUCCCGACCAGGGCG
rnacentral:tRNA from 1 species